CAGUCGCCACGGUAAGACAGAGGUCCCGAGCGUUGUUCGGAUUCAUUGGGCGUAAAGGGUGUGUAGGAGGCCAGGUAAGUCAGGUGUGAAAUCUCAGAGCUUAACUCUGAAACUGCGCUUGAUACUGCUUGGCUAGAGGAUCGGAGGGGGUAACGGAAUUUAUGGUGUAGCAGUGAAAUGCGUAGAUAUCAUAAGGAACACCGGUGGCGAAGGCGGUUACCUGGAAGAUUCCUGACUCUGAAACACGAAAGCCAGGGGAGCAAACGGGAUUAGAUACCCCCGUAGUCCCUGUCUCUUAUAA
rnacentral:rRNA from 1 species